AGGGGCAGCGAGGGUAGCAAUACCUGUCGGCGACCGGCGCACGGGUGCGUAACGCGUAUGCAACCUACCUUAUACAGGGGGAUAGCCCGGAGAAAUUCGGAUUAAUACCCCAUAUGAUUACGAGAUCACAUGGUUUAGUAAUGAAAGCUGAGGCGGUAUAAGAUGGGCAUGCGUGACAUUAGCUAGUUGGUGAGGUAACGGCUCACCAAGGCGACGAUGUCUAGGGGUUCUGAGAGGAUUAUCCCCCACACUGGUACUGAGACACGGACCAGACUCCUACGGGAGGCAGCAGUGAGGAAUAUUGGUCAAUGGGCGCAAGCCUGAACCAGCCAUCCCGCGUGCAGGAUGACUGCCCUAUGGGUUGUAAACUGCUUUUGUAUACCGAGAAAUGCAGAUACGUGUAUUUGUUUGACGGUAGUAUAUGAAUAAGCAUCGGCUAACUCCGUGCCAGCAGCCGCGGUAAUACGGAGGAUGCAAGCGUUAUCCGGAUUUAUUGGGUUUAAAGGGUGCGUAGGCGGAUUUAUAAGUCAGUGGUGAAAGUUUGCGGCUUAACCGUAAAAUUGCCAUUGAUACUGUAGAUCUUGAGUACAGUUGAGGUAGGCGGAAUGUGUAAUGUAGCGGUGAAAUGCAUAGAUAUUACACAGAACACCGAUUGCGAAGGCAGCUUACUAGACUGUAACUGACGCUGAGGCACGAAAGCGUGGGAUCGAACAGGAUUAGAUACCCUGGUAGUCCACGCCGUAAACGAUGUUCACCCGCUGUUUGCGAUAUACUGCAAGCGGCUGAGCGAAAGCAUUAAGU
rnacentral:rRNA from 1 species